rnacentral:rRNA from 1 species
UACGGGGGGGGCAAGCGUUGUUCGGAAUUACUGGGCGUAAAGGGCUCGUAGGCGGCCAACUAAGUCAGACGUGAAAUCCCUCGGCUUAACCGGGGAACUGCGUCUGAUACUGGAUGGCUUGAGGUUGGGAGAGGGAUGCGGAAUUCCAGGUGUAGCGGUGAAAUGCGCAGAUAUCGGGAGGAACACCGGUGGCGAAGGCGGUUCUCUGGGCCUGUACUGACGCUGAGGAGCGAAAGCGUGGGGAGCAAACAGG